CCUACGGGAGGCAGCAGUGGGGAAUAUUGCACAAUGGGGGAAACCCUGAUGCAGCGACGCCGCGUGAGUGAAGAAGUAUUUCGGUAUGUAAAGCUCUAUCAGCAGGGAAGAAGAAAGACGGUACCUGACUAAGAAGCCCCGGCUAACUACGUGCCAGCAGCCGCGGUAAUACGUAGGGGGCAAGCGUGAUCCGGAUUUACUGGGUGUAACGGGAGCGUAGACGGCUGUGCAAGUCUGAAGUGAAAGCCCAGGGCUCAACCCUGGGACUGCUUUGGAAACUGUGGAGCUAGAGUGCUGGAGAGGUAAGUGGAAUUCCUAGUGUAGCGGUGAAAUGCGUAGAUAUUAGGAGGAACACCAGUGGCGAAGGCGGCUUGCUGGACAGUAACUGACGUUGAGGCUCGAAAGCGUGGGGAGCAAACAGGAUUAGAUACCCCUGUAGUC
rnacentral:rRNA from 1 species